GGGGGUGAAAUGGCUUCGACGGGGUGAAGGAGGUUAUUUGUCGCAUGUCGAGCUCAACCGGUGUUGCUCGUUAAUAAAAUCGGUUAAUUUUUAAAUGCCAACGAUAAUUUCGUUUUAGCUGCUUAAAAAAAAAUAAGCUCUAACAUCUUUCUUUAGUUUUUCCAUUCGGAUUUCUGAAAGGUGUCGCAAAUAGAAUGGAUGGUGGAAUUGUUGAGUCGGUGAUUCCACGAGAAAUUAGGCUCACAGCGCAAAGAGGCUUGUCAGUUUGCAUACCUUUGCGUUAAUCAAAAAUUGACUAAGCAUGUAGAAGCGGUAGUCAAAUCACUUCGGACCCGGGUUCAACUCCCGGCACCUCCACAA
rnacentral:tmRNA from 1 species